rnacentral:rRNA from 3 species
CAAUAGCGUAUAUUAAAUUUGUUGCAGUUAAAAAGCUCGUAGUUGGAUCUCAGGUUUGGUAUGUCGGUUUGGUCUUUGUAUCAUAACUGUAUUAUAUCAGCCUUUUUUAGUUGUUAGCCGCUGUACGGUGGUCUUCAUUGAUCGCUGUAUGGUGCUCGACACGUUUACCUUGAAGAAAUCAGAUUGAUCAAAGCAGGCUUCGGCUUGAAUGCUUAUGCAAGGAAUAAUAGAAUAGGACCUUGGUGCUAUUUUGUUGAUUUUCAGUACUAAGGUAAUGAAUAAUAGAGACAGUCGGGGGUAUUUGUAUGGUGACGUUAGAGGUGAAAUUCUGAGAUCGUUGCCAGACAAACUACUGCGAAAGCAUUUACCCAGUAUGUCUUCAUUAAUCAAGAACGAAAGUCAGAGGUU